UCUGAGCCAGCAGGCUUGGGAUCAACGGUGUUCCAGCUGUGACCACCAUGUCUUCUUGCAUUCAGAUAUAGAAUAUCAAAAACUGCACCAUCAGGUACAUAAUCAAGAAUUUGAUAUUUGCAGCGGCCAUAUUUUUUGUUGUUUAACCCCGAGUUAAAUCCGAUCCAGCAAACAUAUAAUCAAAUGAGUUCCAGCUGUGACCAUCCUGUCUUUCUUUUCAGAUAAAAUAUAUACAGGACCACAAGAUGGCUGAAGCAGGAGAUUUGCACCGCCACCCUGUAAUUUGUGCAUCCUUCUCUCCUCCUACAGCCGCCAACUCACCGUUGUUCCCGAUCAAUAACUGCACCGAUGUCAACUGUUGUAGAAGAGAUCAACCUCUUUGAGAAGUCCAUGAGUGAAGCCUCUGUCCACUAACUUUAUCGACUAGAAAUAACAGCCAACCCUCUUCAAAUACACUCUGAAACAAAGCUGGGGUAGGAGACAUUGAAGCAAUGUAUCAUUGAUACUAGAAAAACACACAAUGGCUAGUCACGACUGGAAAGCUUUUCAUCAUAGAUCUACUGGAUCAUGAUUAAUCUAGGGUUAAACAGCAAUGUUAAUUAUUUUCAUUUCCCUGGCAUUGACAAUAUAACGAGAGAGGCGUCCGAUCUAAAGCAUUGUCAGCAAAUUUUUUGGAGAUACCUUUGUGCAGUUUAAUCUAGUUUAAUGGUGAUGUUUAGGGGUGAUAUAUAACUGCAAAAUUUGCAAGAAAUUCUAAUCAAAUCACUCUUAAAGUUCACACAUUCUACUAAUCUGCUGAUAUAGUCAUGGAUAACACUAUAUCUGAAAAAGCAAAAUACGAGAUAACUAUGGCUGGAACUAGAUUUGGACAUAUUUAUGCUGGACCGUAACUAACCUGCGACUCAAAAACAAUAAGAAUAAAUACCAGCAUUGCCACCGAAGGUGCACUUUGCACGAAAAUGCCAAAAUGAGAGUUUCUCUCUUGGUAGCUACCGUAGUAAAGUUUGUUCUAAUAGAUCAUCCUCAUUUAAAUGGGAAAAAAAAUUACUUCUCGGUAUUGAAAUUGCCUCUUUCGCUAAUAAAUAUUUUUUUUCAAUCUCCCCGCUAGCGAUAUAAACAUGAGUGCAUUUUACACCAAAAGCCAAUAAGAGACUUUCUCACACGGUAACUACUGCUGUGUAGUUUGUUCUAACAGAGCAUCUACAUUUAAGUGGGGAUAAAAAUUACCUCUCAGUAUUAAUGCGGUCUCUGUUGUUAAUAUAUAUUAAUUAGAUUGAGUUUCCAGUAAAUCUUAAGUAAUUUACAGUAAAUAUUUAUCUAUAACAAUUUUCUCAUGGCACUACUGUUAUCAGUGGAAAGCGUUUAAUAUUUAAUCCGUUUCUUUUUACAUCCCAAAUGAGAACUUCCUUCUCACAUCUGUCUAGUUAUCUACUUCCUCUGUCAUCACCUUUGUAGCACUUCAAUUUUAAGUGUGUAAGACGGAAAGCUUUACUUGACGACAGGAAGAACAAUUAACCUUAUUAUAGGAUCAAUAACAUAUAUAUAUAUAUUGUGUGUAUUGCGUAUGUGUCUUGUGCAUUGUGUGUGUAUAUGUGCAUGUGUGUAUAUCUGUGUAUACACGCGUGUGUGUAUGUAUGUGUGUUUAUUUGUGUGUGUGAUGUCGUCUCAUCAUAGAUCAGUGCUAUUUAGGUAUACGCCAGAGAAAAUGCAUGCCAGUCGAGAUGGUCACGGAUGGAAUAUUUCACACAUACAGUAAUUCAUAUUGCACUACCUAGAAUGUCUUGUGUUAGAUGGGAGAUGUGAUUUCAGAGAGAUUUAGCCGUUAUUGUUAUCAGAUCAAGUGAACACAUGAUCGAAAUUUAGGUAGCUCGGUGCGUUUAUGGAAUAUAAGUGCAUACGUGCGCAGAUAGAUAGAUAGAUAGAUAGAUAGAUAGAUAGAUAGAUAGAUAGAUAGAUAGAUAGAUAGAUACAUACAUACAUACAUACAUACAUACAUACACAUGUGUCUGUGUACAUGUACAUAUCAAUCAAUCAAUAUCUAUUAUUCAAAAUUCAAAGAAAUAUGAAUUAUAGGGGAAAAGAGUAUAGCCAGUCAUCUUUUUUAACCCUGGUACUUAUUAUAUUGGUGUUUUUUUUUUGCCGAACCGCUAUGUUACGGGGACGUUAACACACCAACACCAGUUGUCAAGAGUUUUGGGGGAUAAAUAAAGAUACACAGGCACACACAAACACACGCAAUACACUCACAAGGCUUUGGUCGAUCCGAGACUAUAGUAAAAUACACUUUCUCAAGGUGCCACGCAGUGGAACUAAGUUCAGAACUAUGUAUAUAUAUUACCCUUUUACUCCAGCAUGGCCUCAGACUGAGGCCAUGCUGGAGCACUGCCUUUAGUCGAGGAAAUAAAUCCCAAGACUUAUUCUUUGUAAGCCUAGUACUUACUCUAUCGGCCUCUUUUUGCCGGAACGCAUCGGUCGUCAAGCGAUGCUGGGGGAACAAACACGGACACACAAACACACACACACAUAUAUACAUAUACAUAUAUACGACGGACUUCUUUCAGUUUCCGUCUACCAAAUUCACUCACAAGGUUAUAGUAGAAGACACUUGCCCAAGGUGCCAUGCAGUGGGACUGAACCCGGAACCAUGUGGUUGGUAAGCAAGCUACUUACCACAUAGUCACUCCUGCGCAUAUAUAUAUAUAUAUAUAAUAUAUAUAUAUACAUAUAAAUAUAUAUAUAUCGAGAGAGAGAGAGAGAGACAGAGAGAGACAGAGACAGAGAGAGAGACAGAGAGAGAGACAGAGAGAAAAGAAAUAACUGAGCAGUAGGUGGGAAGCGAACUUAUACCUCUUAGUAGCCAUCAUAGUUUUACUACUUAAGCUACUAGCCCUCUGCUGUUUACCAGUACAACAAUAAACUUGUAAUUCUGUUACACAUUCUGAACGUUUUACAAGGUCAUUCGAUCUGCUUGGGAAAACAACUAAAUCUUCCUCGUCUUUGAUCAAAAAUUUCAUUGAUCAAAGCUAAUCUGGAGCUACAUAAUAACUAUAAUAAUUUUAAUUGAAAAUUGGAAAAAUCAAAUUUUGGGAAAAUCAUGAUUUUGUUUAGUUUGGGUUUUUUGUCUAAUUUUAAAGGUUUGAAAAUUGAAAAUUAUGCAACUGCCUUAUUUUCAUAAAAUCAACUCAGGAGACGAGGCGUGAAUAGGAUUGAAAGAAAGAAAAAAUCAAACACGAAAUUUAAACACAAAUAAACGUUGCAAUCUAGGAGAAAAAAUACAAAAGAAAUAAAAUGAUUAAACAAGUA